UACGUAGGGGGCUAGCGUUGUCCGGAAUCAUUGGGCGUAAAGAGCGUGUAGGCGGCCCGGUAAGUCCGCUGUGAAAGUCGGGGCUCAACCCUCGGAUGCCGGUGGAUACUGUCGGGCUCGAGUACGGAAGAGGCGAGUGGAAUUCCUGGUGUAGCGGUGGAAUGCGCAGAUAUCAGGAGGAACACCGAUGGCGAAGGCAGAUCGUCUGGGCCGUAACUGACGCUGAGGAGCGAAAGCAUGGGGAGCGAACAGG
rnacentral:rRNA from 1 species